rnacentral:rRNA from 1 species
GUCUGCAACCCGACUACAUGAAGCUGGAANCGCUAGUAAUCGCGGAUCAGAAUGCCGCGGUGAAUACGUUCCCGGGUCUUGUACACACCGCCCGUCACACCAUGGGAGUCGGAAAUGCCCGAAGUCUGUGACCCAACCGCGAGGAGGGAGCAGCCGAAGGCAGGUCGGAUGACUGGGGUGAAGUCGUAACAAGGUACC